rnacentral:lncRNA from 1 species
CCUUGGCUGCCUCCCUCUGUCUGCCUAUCUUAUCCUUUAGAUCGCACAAGGUGCGAAUAUGUUCCUGUAUAUCAUCAAUUGUCUCUGGUAUAGGAGGAAUAUAAACUUCCUGUACAUCCAUGCCACAGGUCUGAGAAGAGUUGUCCAUUGAAGCGGUUAGAGAUUCAAAGAUUGGUAGGUGGCUUUCCCUGGCAGGUCUAUUUCGAUAAUCCUCAAUACUCACUCUGGUUUUGGUGGAGAUAAGUGGAGCCGAUGAAGGUUU